GAAACUAUCUUGAGAUUUGUGUAAUCACAAACUUGUGCAUAUGUAAAUGCAAAAAUCAAUUUCACGGAAAAUCAAUGUCAGUUCUCACAAGUUUUGGAUUGGGUACCAUCUGGGUAACUUACCUGCCAAAGAAAAGACGAUGACUCUUUGGAUCUUUGCUGCUUGGCAUCACCUGGGCCAGCGAGGAGGACUGAGUUUAACAAGAGAUCAUCAUCUUCGUCAGUCAAGCUGACAGGAGAGAUCUUGGAAAGAAAGCCAAAGAAACAGAACAGUGAAAUGGGUCUACCUAAAGGUGUCCAGAAGUGGUACUUCUUUUUUCGCUUUACUAAAACGAUUUAUGAUUGUUCCAUCUUCCUCGAUGACAGAUGAAUUUUCCAAGGCUUUCAGACUUUUCUCAGCUGAUGUUUGAACAACCUGAGAAAAAGAAGCAUAGAAAUAUUAUAAAAUUGAAGUUACUGCACAAUUAAAUUUUCAUUUAUCAACCUCGAGAACAUUUUCAUUUAUCAACCUGUUUUUUGAAAAUACAGAGUGAAUUGAGCUUCCAGAAAUUUUUUUAACCAAAAGAAAACCCAUUUGAAAAUGCCAAAAAUAUAUACUAUGUGAAGUGAUAAUUUUGGCCAGCUCUGAUAAUGUAGCCAGGUGGGAGAAACUGUGUUUGCUGAUUGACUGAACCCAGCUUCAGGUAUCGCCUGCUGCGUCAAUUCAACUGUCGAGUUUUGAUUAGCUUUUUCUCCCUUUAGAAAUGAUUUUUUAAACUUUUUGUUUCAUAUACGCGCGUUAGGGUAACUAAACUAGGACCCUGCCAGUGUUCAAACUCACUUUUGAGUUUAAGGAGCCAUGUGGCGCAUCAAGCCCGAUUUUUAGGUGCCAAAUUGACUUUUCGCCUAUACAUUACGGCGCAUUUAGUGAAAAGUUAGACGCAAGAUGUUUUCGUACAACUAGUAGUAGCUGUAACCGGGGGAACAAAGCAUUAAGAAUGAAAUUGUGAAGAAUAGAAAAAGCUUUCACUUGUAGUGCUGAAAUUCUGAGUUUUUUUCAUUCAAAUAAAUUUGUUUUUCUUUUGUUAUAAGACUUCCUAUGAAAUCCAGAUUUUAGGGGCCACGUUGGCGCAGAGCCUCAUUUUUUUAGGCGCCAUGAUCGAUUUUUUAGGCACAUUUGGCUCGUUGGCGCCUGUGGGUUUUGAACACUGGACCCUGCAAACAUUCCUUAUCAUUGCUCCUUUUAAAGUAUGAAAGAAGCAGUUUACACAUAAAUGGCCUGGAAUGUAGAAAUUUACGACCAUGGAUCCAAGAUAGAAUAUUUGCCUAAAUGAUGAGCGGUAAAUUAGUGAGUGGAUACUGAGAUAAGAGUCAAUUGAAACACACCAGACUUUUGGGAUCAAGAAUAAUUUUCCCAUCAGCACUCAGCUUCAAUUGUGGAACGGGCAUUUCAGAGUCAGCUUCAUCUACUCUACAUCAUCGACCUUCUUCUUCAAGGCGACUAGCAACAGGACUGGAAAGCAUACGUAACAAUGUUAUUAACAACAUUCAUAAAUUUUACAAAAAUUGAAGGGGGGUGUUUUUGCUACAGCAAACAUUUUAAUCAGGCGGGAUGGGUACUGGUAUCGUAUCCCUUCCUUAGAAAAAUGACAACAUUCAUCAAUCUUUUGGGAUAAAGCAGAUAAAGAGCUUCUGAAACAAGCCAAGUUGAGCCCUGUAGCUUACUUAGGACCCAAGUUUUACCAUCUUCAAGCCCCCGUAACUGCGGUUCUAUUGGUCAGAAAAAUUGAAAGGUUACGAUUCUAACCAUUAUAUGGUUCACAAUGCCUACCAAGUACCAUCAAAUCUAGGGUGGUCAUGAAAAUUUAUUGGUUGAAUUGAGGAACUUGAACGACAAAGGCGCAUAAGAGUAGUUUUUGAAAAAUUGAGAUAUUCAUAAUUUCAACUAAUACUAGGUCUUAAACUAUGAUGACAAGCAAAAAAUUCUUGACUGAAAUCUUAUUUAAGCAUCAAAUAAGAGUUUGAACUUUUUUUCAGCCAUAAGGCUCCAUGUAAUGUUGAACUUAAACAUUUAUUUCUCGAAAUUUGCAAAAACUGUCCGUAUCCCACUUGUCCUCCAUCCUCCAAGCCCGUCAAUUGCCACGAAAUGACCCUCAUACUUUGAAACCUCAAUGCUGAGUACUUGAGCAAAACUAAUUGCAUUGAAAAACUGAUAAUUUUUUAACUGAUAUAAUUGGUGGCUAAUACUCUCUAUUCCUAUCACACCUGCAAAUUUCCUAAAAA
rnacentral:lncRNA from 1 species